GGCGAUCGUGGUUCCUAUUAUGGCAAGGUUCCAAUCAUAGGUGGCCCUCAGCAUAAGCCGAAGAAAAAGAGCGCGCUGGAAAAAGCAAUGCUUCGUUAUUUGCAGCAACGUCAUGAAGAAGCUGUUGCCGCGGGUCAGGAACCUCCUUUUGGUGGUCGUUAUGCUCCACCCUCAGUCCCGGGUGUUUCACGUCCACUUAGUACUACCGUUUCAGG
rnacentral:lncRNA from 1 species